AUAUCUCAACUCCAAUGCUUUGUUAAUGUUGCGUUGACACGCCCUCCGGCCUAGCGAGGCCGCUGCGGUAGUCGGUGUGGCUUGAGGUGUUGGAGCUUGGAACUGAGCUCUGUUGGCCUCCAAUGGUCAACUGGCUUGAAAUGGAUCAGCGAUGCGUGAUCCCUUGGGUCCAUCUCGGCGUGAUAAGUUGAUCGCUGUAAAGGGCUCCUUGGGGUGUGGCUCGCUUCUAGCCGUCUUAGGACAAUUUUGACA
rnacentral:misc_RNA from 1 species